AACAGAGAUGACCCUGAGAAGAAUCAUCUUUUGCAUUAAUAGCCCUGAAGGCCAACAAGUGCAUCCACUGUUGUUUCAACAGAAGCCUGAAAAGAUGUUGAUUGCACAUUUGCGGUAACCGUCUUUGACUGGCAGGACCACUUUCGCGCAAGUGCAGAACGGAUCGGGCAGAUCGGGUACUGACAGCUCUCUCACCAAUUCCCCGUUACUCCCUCAGCCAAAGAGUGACCGACACUUUGCUCCAUGAAGCUGAAUGAACAGUGCAGACAUGGGUUGACAGUAAUGCCCUCCAGUGAUGUUUCUUGUCCAUUUCGCCUGGACUUACAACCUAGGAUCAGAACACAUAGAACAGCAAACCAGGGAGAGGUCACCCUGGUGAUGAGGUCAUCAAGGGGUUGCAGCGAGGUCAUCCAGACAGGAAGAAAGUCCCAGUUCUGCAGUUGAAGUGGCAAACAAUCUGGUCUACGCACCUGGAGAAUGUUCACUGUUGCUCCAGAUAUAAUCAGUAUAAUUACUGGUACACCAAUCCCGGCCAUCACCUUCCACCCAGCCAUGGAGAGGGCAAACACGAGGGAUGGGAAUAGCAGGAAGCAGACAAGAAGAUUUACUGCUACAGAGCGGGAAAUUAACCAAACAGUGCUCAGGAGCACAGGGACAUGUGCCACAUUUUCCAGAGUGGGCACCUGCACAGCACCUUUUCUGUUCCAGCUGAGUGAGUAAACUGAUCUUAAAAUGGGAACUCCUCCCUUACAGGUGUGUACUUUAAGUACCUUCCUUAUGUUAUACUGGGGACUCUGGCUGUUGCGUGUGCCUUGGCCACACUCUUACCAGAGACCUUUGGACGAUCUCUACCAGAGACUAUUCAAGGGAUGCAUGAAAGCAAAAGGUGCUACUUCUGUGAUACAGUAUUGUAUUGUGAUGAUUUUUGAAAAAUUAAAAGAUUAAUUUCAACUCUU